rnacentral:rRNA from 1 species
GACACGACUCUCGACAAUGGAUAUCUUGGCUCUUGCAUCGAUGAAGAGCGCAGCGAAAUGCGAUACGUGGUGCGAAUUGCAGAAUCCCGUGAACCAUCGAGUCUUUGAACGCAAGUUGCGCCCGAGGCCAGUCGGCCAAGGGCACGUCCGCCUGGGCGUCAAGC